GUGGGGAAUAUUGGACAAUGGGCGAAAGCCUGAUCCAGCCAUGCCGCGUGUGUGAAGAAGGUCUUCGGAUUGUAAAGCACUUUAAGUUGGGAGGAAGGGCAUUAAGUUAAUACCUUGCUGUUUUGACGUUACCGACAGAAUAAGCACCGGCUAACUUCGUGCCAGCAGCCGCGGUAAUACGAAGGGCGCAAGCGUUAAUCGGAAUUACUGGGCGUAAAGCGCGCGUAGGUGGUUUUGUAAGUUGGAGGUGAAAUCCCCGGGCUCAACCUGGGAACUGCCUCCAAAACUGCAUGACUAGAGUACGGUAGAGGGUAGUGGAAUUUCCUGUGUAGCGGUGAAAUGCGUAGAUAUAGGAAGGAACACCAGUGGCGAAGGCGACUACCUGGACUGAUACUGACACUGAGGUGCGAAAGCGUGGGGAGCAAACAGGAUUAGAUACCCUAGUAGUCC
rnacentral:rRNA from 1 species